GAUGAACGCUGGCGGCGUGCCUAAUACAUGCAAGUCGAGCGAACGGACGAGAAGCUUGCUUCUCUGAUGUUAGCGGCGGACGGGUGAGUAACACGUGGAUAACCUACCUAUAAGACUGGGAUAACUUCGGGAAACCGGAGCUAAUACCGGAUAAUAUUUUGAACCGCAUGGUUCAAAAGUGAAAGACGGUCUUGCUGUCACUUAUAGAUGGAUCCGCGCUGCAUUAGCUAGUUGGUAAGGUAACGGCUUACCAAGGCAACGAUGCAUAGCCGACCUGAGAGGGUGAUCGGCCACACUGGAACUGGGACACGGUCCAGACUCCUACGGGAGGCAGCAGUAGGGAAUCUUCCGAAAUGGGCGAAAGCCUGACGGAGCAAAGCCGCGUGAGUGAUGAAGGUCUUCGGAUCGUAAAACUCUGUUAUUAGGGAAGAACAUAUGUGUAAGUAACUGUGCACAUCUUGACGGUACCUAAUCAGAAAGCCACGGCUAACUACGUG
rnacentral:rRNA from 1 species